ACAGACGGCAAGGAGAACCAGAUAGUGCUUGGAAAGACUACACUGCUGUCCCUGUCAGGCCCAUCCCACGGCCUUCUCCCGCUGACCUCCUUACAGGGGCAAGUGAGCCCAGCACAUGGAGACACCCAUUCAGCACUGCUUUAUUAAGGACGGCUCCAGCCCGUACAUUUAAUUGGAGAGUAAUCGAGUUUCCUUUCCACUAGGAAAGUCGAAACUCCCACGAAUUGCAUCAGCCUUCCUGCCCCUGUCCUGCCCGGGGCUUCACCAAAGUUCAAGGUGGUAUCAAGAAAUGAGGGACCCCAAUAUGAAAAUCAAGCCAUAUCGAGACAAGACGUUAUUGAGACACCUGGAUCUUGGUCCAUCUGGAGCCCGACGUUCUCCAGUAGAGGAGCGCCCAUGGAAAUGCCCAUUCUUUCCAUCUCUCUGCUGCUGGCUGCCCACGCUGUGCAUUCUUCUUUGGUCAAGUGACUUGGAGAAUAAAUCAUUAAAACCUCAGCAAAGCAGGACCACAAGGGCGAAGAGACAGCAGAAGAAGUUCACCACAGAAACAUGAAAGGACUAGAGACAUUUUUCAGAAAGGAAAAUAAACAUCACUUAGAGCUUUGCAAGCCAGAGCUACUACAUCUAACCCUCUUAAAUAAAGUCUCAGCAAGGUUUGUUUA